rnacentral:rRNA from 1 species
UACGAGGGGGGCAAGCGUUGUUCGGAAUUAUUGGGCGUAAAGGGUGCGUAGGCGGUUUGGUAAGUCUUAUGUGAAAUCUACAGGCUCAACUUGUAGUCUGCAUGAGAAACUGCCGGGCUUGAGUGUGGGAGAGGUGAGUGGAAUUCCUGGUGUAGCGGUGAAAUGCGUAGAUAUCAGGAGGAACACCUGUGGCGAAAGCGGCUCACUGGACCAUAACUGACGCUGAUGCACGAAAGCUAGGGGAGCAAACAGG